rnacentral:lncRNA from 1 species
AUGAGCAAAAAAUCCCAACCCCAAAAAUCCCAAAUCCAGGAAACCCCUGCCAUCCUGGAGCUGGAUUUUUUCAGAUCUGCUCUGAGUGAAAAUCACAAACCCUCAAAGUCCAGGAAACCUCUGCCACCCAGAGUUGGAUUUUUUUCACAUCUCCUCCACGAGCAAAAAUCACAACCCCAAAUAUCCCAACUCCAGGAAACCCCUGCUGUCCCAGGUUGGAUUAUUUUUGGAUCUCCUCCAUUCCAUGAGCAAAAAACCCAAGUCCAGGAAACCCCCUUCUGUCCCAGGCUGGAUUUUUUUCAGAUCUCCACGACCAAAAACUCACAACCCAAACCCCCCAACCACCCCGAGGUUUUGUUUCUCUCAGAUCUCCUCCACUCCAUGAGCAAAAAACCCAACUCCAAGAAACCCCUGCUGUCCCAAGGUUGGAUCCACUCCAUGACCAAAAAAACCCAACUCCAGAAAACCCCUGCUGUCCCAGGCUGGAUUUUUUUCAGAUCUCCACGACCAAAAACUCACAACCCCAACCCCCACCCCCGAGGUUUCGUUCCUCUCAGAUCUCCUCCACUCCGUGAGCGAAGAUCAUGACGAGCCCCGGCUCCAGCACCAUGUCCUCUCCCAUGUGCUGGUUCUCGCAGGCCAUCACCACCACGGCCUGCUUGCCGGGGAUGCGUUUGGCCACGUAGUUCUCGUAGUAGCGCCGGUUCAUCUGCCGCGUCUCCAGCGUGGCCAGCCCCUGGGGCCAGUUGCGCUCGUGGGCGUUCUCGAU